rnacentral:rRNA from 1 species
UACGUAGGGGGCAAGCGUUUGUCCGGAAUCAUUGGGCGUAAAGAGCGUGUAGGCGGCCAGAUAGGUCCGUUGUGAAACUGGAGGCUUAACCUCCAGCGGUCGAUGGAAACCAUUGGCUAGAGUCCGGAAGAGGAGAGUGGAAUUCCUGGUGUAGCGGUGAAUGCGCAGAUAUCAGGAAGAACACCCGUGGCGAAGGCGGCUCUCUGGGACGGUACUGACGCUGAGACGCGAAAGCGUGGGGAGCGAACAGG